rfam:Parvimonas micra strain KCOM 1535, complete genome.
UAUGGCUGUAAUGGCUAGGAGGAUACACCUGUUCCCAUCUCGAACACAGAAGUUAAGCUCUUAAACGUCGAAGGUACUGAUACAUCUCGUAUUGGAAGAAUAGAAAACAGCCAAAC